ensembl:snoRNA
CAGCAUGUUCCCAGACUCUCUGGUUGCUUGUGGCCAAGGGAUCUCCAACUGCAUACGAGAGCAACCUGGAGAGACUUUGACAGCCCAGGUCAGCAGAGCACCUGCAGCUGCCACUCGACUUUCCUGUAAUG